rnacentral:rRNA from 1 species
GACGAACGCUGGCGGCGUGCCUAAUACAUGCAAGUUGAGCGCUGAAGGUUGGUACUUGUACCAACUGGAUGAGCAGCGAACGGGUGAGUAACGCGUGGGGAAUCUGCCUUUGAGCGGGGGACAACAUUUGGAAACGAAUGCUAAUACCGCAUAAAAACUUUAAACACAAGUUUUAAGUUUGAAAGAUGCAAUUGCAUCACUCAAAGAUGAUCCCGCGUUGUAUUAGCUAGUUGGUGAGGUAAAGGCUCACCAAGGCGAUGAUACAUAGCCGACCUGAGAGGGUGAUCGGCCACAUUGGGACUGAGACCCGGCCCAAACUCCUACGGGAGGCAGCAGUAGGGAAUCUUCGGCAAUGGACGCAAGUCUGACCGAGCAACGCCGCGUGAGUGAAGAAGGUUUUCGGAUCGUAAAACUCUGUUGGUAGAGAAGAACGUUGGUGAGAGUGGAAAGCUCAUCAAGUGACGGUAACUACCCAGAAAGGGACGGCUAACUACGUG